UUUAUUUUUGAGUUAUUCACGGUUGUUUGUUCGUCCUUCUCUCUAAAUUCCAGAUCUGAGUGCAUUCCCAAGGAGCAAAUCGUGGGUGAGCAAUCCUUGGGUCAGUAAGCAAUCUAAAUCGCUUUAAAUGAUACUGAUUUUCUUUGAUUUUUUCUUACUUUUGAUUUAUCUUCUGUGUGUUUCUUCAAAUCAAGUUGGCUAUAAAUAUUCCCACAACCCUCCUCGAUUUUCAAACCUUCAAAUUCUUCAUGUUCAGUUUCCAUGUUUGCUUGUAUGAGUAAUAAGGUUCGCGAGUUAAUGAUUUGAGCUCUAAUUCUUUUACUUUUGCAUAAAUUAGCUGGUAUCAGAAACUUAUAAUGUAGCUUCUCAACCUCAUAAAAUUAUUUUUUGCAGAAAUCACAACAUUGAAAACUCACUUAGUUGCUAUCGAGAAGCUUUUGAUGUUGUUUUAUUGUAUAUAACGGACUUUGUAAGGAAGCCCUCCAACAAAAUCAUGUACCUGUUUAGUGUUUUCCUGCACUGCAGUUCAGCUAUGAAUAGUGCAGAGAUGCAUGGCUUUGGUCAUAGAAGGCUUUGAGGUGAAUUUUUGCUAAGCAGUAGUUUAAUUUUAUGCUUUUCCCCAGCAUGUUUCUUGACGCAAGUAGUGCUGCAUGUUGUACAUUUUCUUGUGUGUCUUGGAUUGUC